rfam:Pseudozyma flocculosa PF-1 unplaced genomic scaffold scaffold00024, whole genome shotgun sequence.
GGGGGUUUAGCUCAGUCGUAGAGCGUUCCGUUUGCAUGGCGUGUUCUCGGAAAGGUCAUGGGUUCAAUCCCCAUAGUCUCCA